UUUGUUAUUUCAAAGCGACCUAAUUACGAAUUAUUUCUGACAUUUAGAAGCGUAAUGGCCUCCUAGGAAGUCGUGGUGCUUUCCAAGUUUUAAGGUUCAUCUAAUGAAAAUAGAAAAUCAAUCUCAUGCCGAGGAUUCACACUCUACCAACAAAUGGUGAGAUCAUGGGAAGAAAACGAAGCCGUUGCUCGAUGUAGCGGCAAGUUCAGCUAGAGUGUUUCUUCAGAAACAAAAAUACCAGAAUACCAGAAGUACCAUCCAAGGAAGACCUUCAGCGCCACCAACACCAAAAACAGUGAAACCAC